UCUCAUCCUGGGCUCUGGAGGCAGUCGC
rnacentral:piRNA from 1 species